GCUCCGUUGGUGAACCAGCGGAGGGAUCAUUACAGGACUCGCAAGACUCCUACAACCCUGUGAACUUAACUAUAAGCACGUUGCUUCGGCGGGUGUCUCGGAGGGGGUUCUCCCUCCCCGAGACGCUAAACCCGCCGGCAGCCUACUAUACUCUGUCCCUUUGCGUUGGCAUCUCGAGUACAAUCAAACAAGUUAAAACUUUCAACAACGGAUCUCUUGGUUCUG
rnacentral:misc_RNA from 1 species